UCCUUCGGGCCCGGGAACACAGGUGGUGCAUGGUGUCGUCAGCUCGUGCCGUGAGAUGUGGGUUAAGUCCCGCAACGAGCGCAACCCCUAUAAUUAUUUGCCUGCAUCAGUUNGGACUCUAGUUAGACUCCGGUCCAAACCGGAGGAAGGUGAGGAUGACGUCAAAUCAUCAUGCCCCUUAUGACCUGGGCUACACACGUGCUACAAUGGAUGGUACAACGAGCAGCUAACCCGCGAGGGUAUGCGAAUCUCUUAAAGCCAUUCUCAGUUCGGACGGCAGGCUGCAACUCGCCUGCAUGAAGCCGGAAUCGCUAGUAAUCGCGGAUCAGCACGCCGCGGUGAAUACGUUCCCGGGUCUUGUACACACCGCCCGUCACACCACGAGAGUUUGUAACACCCGAAGCCGGUGGCCUAACCCUUUUAGGGAGGGAGCCGUCGAAGGUGGGAUAGAUGAUUGGGGUG
rnacentral:rRNA from 1 species